UACAGAGGUCUCAAGCGUUGUUCGGAUUCAUUGGGCGUAAAGGGUGCGUAGGCGGCGCGGUAAGUCGGGUGUGAAAUCUUGGAGCUUAACUCCGAAACUGCAUUCGAUACUGCCGUGCUUGAGGACUGGAGAGGAGACUGGAAUUUACGGUGUAGCGGUGAAAUGCGUAGAUAUCGUAAGGAAGACCAGUGGCGAAGGCGGGUCUCUGGACAGUUCCUGACGCUGAAGGCACGAAGGCCAGGGGAGCAAACGGGG
rnacentral:rRNA from 1 species